CACAUUAAAAAGUCAGAACGAAAGAGACCAACAGGAAGAUAAGGAAGAAAGAUAAGAUAGCAAAUGAAAUUGGUUCUAGGCAGAAACAAUUUAAAGAUAAAAGAGUGAAGAGUAGGACGUGGAAUCAAAUUAGACUUGAAGUGAAAGCACAAAAGUCAGGGCAGACUUGGUCUGGAAAUGUUUCCUGUUGACCUCAGAGCCUAUGGUUGCUUUUAUGUAUAAUGCAUAAUAUUAAAUGAGCUUUUCAUGUCACUUAAGUUCUUACCAAUUUGUCAUCAAAGUGACUCUAGUGAUAAUUACCUUGACCCAGAUGCCAUGUAAAGUAAGACCUUAUUUACCAUGCAAGAAAUAAACUGGCUAAAGGGUUAGUUUUGCCCAACCGAUAGUGGUUUGCACCCGCCAGACUUCUCUCAGGGAUUCCCGCACAAAUAGUGUAGGUAGGC
rnacentral:lncRNA from 1 species